GAUGAACGCUGGCGGCGUGCCUAAUACAUGCAAGUCGAGCGAACGGACGAGAAGCUUGCUUCUCUGAUGUUAGCGGCGGACGGGUGGGUAACACGUGGAUAACCUACCUAUAAGACUGGGAUAACUUCGGGAAACCGGAGCUAAUACCGGAUAAUAUUUUGAACCGCAUGGUUCAAAAGUGAAAGACGGUCUUGCUGUCACUUAUAGAUGGAUCCGCGCUGCAUUAGCUAGUUGGUAAGGUAACGGCUUACCAAGGCAACGAUGCAUAGCCGACCUGAGAGGGUGAUCGGCCACACUGGAACUGAGACACGGUCCAGACUCCUACGGGAGGCAGCAGUAGGGGAUCUUCCGCAAUGGGCGAAAGCCUGACGGAGCAACGCCGCGUGAGUGAUGAAGGUCUUCGGAUCGUAAAACUCUGUUAUUAGGGAAGAACAUAUGUGUAAGUAACUGUGCACAUCUUGACGGUACCUAAUCAGAAAGCCACGGCUAACUACGUG
rnacentral:rRNA from 1 species